UUGUUGUUUUGAAGUGAAUGCUAUGUGCUAUAUAUUGCUGAUGUGAUAGUUAUCUUGGUGGUGGUGUUUUGGCAUGAAUAUUAUGUGUAUUAUUUCUGUGGUGUUGUUUUAAUGUAAAUACUAUUUGUUUAUGGGUGAAUAACUUUAAGUAACUAAAAUGGUGAUUCAAAACUAUAUCCAAAGGUGGGAUAUUAGACUUUUGAUUUUAGGAGAUUACCCAACGGUGGGGUAUUUACGGAGACAUUCAUGCAUUAGAUGACUCAGACAAAUGCCCAAUGGUGGGGUACUGACCAUCGAGUUUUAGGAGUUACUACUCAACGGUGGGGUAGUGGCAAUUCAUAUGCAUUAGGUGAUUCAGAAUAAUGCCCAAUGGUGGGAUACUGAACAUCGAAUUUUUAGGAGUUAUUACCCAAUGGUGGGGUAUUGCCCAAUGGUGGGG
rnacentral:lncRNA from 1 species